rnacentral:rRNA from 1 species
ACGUUAGCGGCGGACGGGUGAGUAACACGUGGGUAACCUACCUAUAAGACUGGGAUAACUUGGGAAGCCGGAGCUAACACCGGAUAAUAUUUCGAACCGCAUGGUUCGAUAGUGAAAGAUGGUUUUGCUAUCACUUAUAGAUGGACCCGCGCCGUAUUAGCUAGUUGGUAAGGUAACGGCUUACCAAGGCGACGAUACGUAGCCGACCUGAGAGGGUGAUCGGCCACACUGGAACUGAGACACGGUCCAGACUCCUACGGGAGGCAGCAGUC